GACGAACGCUGGCGGCGUGCCUAAUACAUGCAAGUUGAGCGCUGAAGGUUGGUACUUGUCCCGACUGGAUGAGCAGCGAACGGGUGAGUAACGCGUGGGGAAUCUGCCUUUGAGCGGGGGACAACAUUUGGAAACGAAUGCUAAUACCGCAUAAAAACUUUAAACACAAGUUUUAAGUUUGAAAGAUGCAAUUGCAUCACUCAAAGAUGAUCCCGCGUUGUAUUAGCUAGUUGGUGAGGUAAAGGCUCACCAAGGCGAUGAUACAUAGCCGACCUGAGAGGGGGAUCGGCCACAUUGGGACUGAGACACGGCCCAAACUCCUACGGGAGGCAGCAGUAGGGAAUCUUCGGCAAUGGACGAAAGUCUGACCGAGCAACGCCGCGGGAGGGAAGAAGGGUUUCGGAUCGUAAAACUCUGUUGGUAGAGAAGAACGUUGGUGAGAGUGGAAAGCUCAUCAAGUGACGGUAACUACCCAGAAAGGGACGGCUAACUACGUG
rnacentral:rRNA from 1 species